rnacentral:rRNA from 1 species
UGGGGAAUUUUGGACAAUGGGCGCAAGCCUGAUCCAGCCAUGCCGCGUGAGUGAAGAAGGCCUUCGGGUUGUAAAGCUCUUUCGGUUGGGAAGAAAUUGCUUCGGAUAAUACCCGGAGUAGAUGACGGUACCAGCAUAAGAAGCACCGGCUAACUACGUGCCAGCAGCCGCGGUAAUACGUAGGGUGCGAGCGUUAAUCGGAAUUACUGGGCGUAAAGCGUGCGCAGGCGGUUGUGUAAGUCAGAUGUGAAAUCCCCGGGCUCAACCUGUGAACUGCAUUUGAGACUGCACGGCUAGAGGGUGGCAGAGGGGGGUAGAAUUCCACGUGUAGCAGUGAAAUGCGUAGAGAUGUGGAGGAAUACCGAUGGCGAAGGCAGCGCCCUGGGACAAUACUGACGCUCAUGCACGAAAGCGUGGGGAGCAAACA